AUUGAACGCUGGCGGCAGGCCUUACACAUGCAAGUCGAACGAGUGGCGGACGGGUGAGUAAUGUCUGGGAAACUGCCUGAUGGAGGGGGAUAACUACUGGGAACGGUAGCUAAUACCGCAUACCAUCAGAUGUGCCCAGAUGGGAUUAGCUUGUUGGUGGGGUAACGGCUCACCAAGGCGACGAUCCCUAGCUGGUCUGAGAGGAUGACCAGCCACACUGGAACUGAGACACGGUCCAGAAUCCUACGGGAGGCAGCAGUGGGGAAUAUUGGACAAUGGGCGCAAGCCUGAGGCAGCCAUGCAGCGUGUAUGAAGAAGGCCUUCGGGUUGUAAAGUACUUUCAGCGGGGAGGCGUUACCUGCAGAAGAAGCACCGGCUAACUCCGUGCCAGCAGCCGCGGUAAUUC
rnacentral:rRNA from 1 species